rnacentral:lncRNA from 1 species
CAAAGACCUUUAUUUACAACUCUCAUGUGGUUACCUCUGAACCUCCAGAAGGAAGCCUCCCUAAUCCCUGAAUUCUGGUCUCUGUCUUGUUUUACUGCUCUUAAAGAUUACAAGAUAAGUUACCAAUAAAAUAGGUGCUGAGCUGUUCUCGGGGAGUUGUGCGUCUCCGGGAGCUCUCCCCGUGCUCUCUCUCAUACUCCUGUGUGUUUCGAGAAUUAAUCAGUGCGAAACUGCUGCAAUUGGCACCGAAACAGGGACCUCCUGAAAGUUUGCUUCAUAUCCCCUCCUCAAGCCCGAGCAAGGGCAAAGGAUGUCUGCUCAUCCAGGGACACCCAAUGCCAGGUGUGACCAGGGAGGGUUCACAUGGAAACAAACACCAGAAUGAAAUGGAUUCUGCCUAGUACCUGAAAGGUCCUGCACUUGAUGAGCCUUCACGGGCUGACACCAGCGGUCUCACACAACAGAGAAAGGGAACUGGGCCAAGUGUAGCCGAGGUCCUCGACAAGGCACGCCUUUGUGCACCAAUUGACAAUCCUCAACUCAAACAUUUAACUGUUUGUAAUGUUCUUUGGGUCAGGCUCCGUGAAAGAGUUCAGGUAACUUCAGCCAUUCACAGAAAUCUUCUCACGUGUUUGCCUGUGCUCCACAGAACAUGUAUUUCCUUACAGGGGCCAUGUGGUAUGGCCAGUGAUAUGGAGAAGGGCAAGUGA